ensembl:lncRNA
CCUCGGGCCAAAUAUGAGGACACAUAAUCGGGUCCACAUAUGAGGACAAUUAAAUAAACUCCAAUAUUUUGCUUAUCAUGGUAAUAUUCUCCAAACCACAUUGGUAAGAUAUGUUUCGUGAAACAUUGAAACCUGAUUAAAAUUUUGCUUUUCCCCUCCAGAUUUGCCUGCACAUUGCACCACGACAUUGCACCACAUAACACACACAUUACGAAACCAACAGUUAUUUUAAGAACUCCUCUCUGUCUGUCUGUCUUUGUCUGACUGACUGACUGAUGGUCUGUCUGUCGGACUGACUGAUGGUCUGUCUGUCUGUCUGUCUGUCUGUCUGUCUGACUGACUGACUGUCUGUCUGUCCGACGGACCGUCUGUGUCCUUAUUUUUUCUUGUCAGGUGUACCACUGCUGAAAUUGACGGACCUGGAAACCGGGAACAGGGUUGCUUGCUAUGGGCCAGAAAAAUACCUUGAUACUUGCCUUUGUCAAACAUUUAUGGAAGCUUCUUUUUUUUUCUUCUUUACAGAUCAAUUUUUUUUGCCUGGGG